rnacentral:rRNA from 1 species
GAUGAACGCUGGCGGCGUGCCUAAUACAUGCAAGUCGAGCGAACAGACGAGGAGCUUGCUCCUCUGACGUUAGCGGCGGACGGGUGAGUAACACGUGGAUAACCUACCUAUAAGACUGGGAUAACUUCGGGAAACCGGAGCUAAUACCGGAUAACAUGUUGAACCGCAUGGUUCAACAGUGAAAGACGGUCUUGCUGUCACUUAUAGAUGGAUCCGCGCCGCAUUAGCUAGUUGGUAAGGUAACGGCUUACCAAGGCAACGAUGCGUAGCCGACCUGAGAGGGUUAUCGGCCACACUGGAACUGAGACACGGUCCAGACUCCUACGGGAGGCAGCAGUAGGGAAUCUUCCGCAAUGGGCGAAAGCCUGACGGAGCAACGCCGCGUGAGUGAAGAAGGUCUUCGGAUCGUAAAACUCUGUUAUUAGGGAAGAACAAAUGUGUAAGUAACUAUGCACGUCUUGACGGUACCUAAUCAGAAAGCCACGGCUAACUACGUG